ensembl:snoRNA
AGCAUUCCAGAUAAGAAUGGGUGUUGUUGAUCAGGGUCCAAAACUGGUCGAUGAAGCUAAUUUGAGACACAGGUUUUGCUUCUAUCACCAUAAAUGCAUUCCAGUGUGACAAGGAGACCUGAAACAUUU